UUGAAGAAUACAAACUCGAAGAAUCAAAGCUGGAAAAAAUGGAUGAAAUGAAGGUCAAUAAGUACACAGCUCCACUGCUUCCAGCAAUGUUCAUGCAGUGUGACCUUGACCUGGGCAUGCGCAG